GUUGGGGUUCGUUGGGUGGUGGACCCCAAAGUUGGGGUACAUUGGGUGGUGGAGACCCCAAAGUUGGGGUACAUUGGGUGGUGGGCCCCAAAGCUCGGGUUAGAGACCCCAAAGUUGGUGUUUUUUGGAUGGUGGAGACCCCAAAGUUGGGGUUCAUUGGGUGGUGGACCCCAAAGCGGGGCUUGGAGACCCCACAGUUGGGGGGUGCGGGGUGGAGAGCCUGAAGAUGGGGUUGUUUGGGGGGUGGAGAGCCUGGAGUGGGGGUACGUUGGGUCGUGGAGACCUCAAAGUUGGGGUACGUUGGGUGGUGGACCUCAAAGUUGGGGUUGGAGACCCCAAAGUUGGGGUACGUUGGGUGGAGACCCCAAAGUGGGGGUUCGUUGGGUGGUGGACCCCAAAGCGGGGCUUGGAG
rnacentral:lncRNA from 1 species